rnacentral:rRNA from 1 species
GGCUUACUAAACCCUUUGGCGAAAUUAAAGUAAGAGAAAGUGUGUUCUUCCUCUUGGGGGAGGAUGCAUGGCUGAUCCUGAUUGGAAGGAAUUUUUUUCUUUCCCUUUCAGGCGCAGGCUGGGGGCCUGUCGAUGUCGGUUUAUGUCUGUGAGACCGUGUUGCUUAGCAUCUGCGGCGAGUUCCGGUUGAUCGGCCGGCAGGCACCUCUAGCGUAAAUGUUAGUACCCGAAAGAUGGUGAUCUAUGCUUGGCUAGAACGAAGCUGGGGGAAACUCUGGUGGAAGUUCGUAGCGGUUCUGACGUGCAAAUCGAUCGUCGGAGCUGAGUAUAGGGGCGAAAGACCAAUCGAACUAUCUAGUAGCUGGUUCCUUCCGAAAAGG